AUUGAACGCUGGCGGCAUGCCUUACACAUGCAAGUCGAACGGCAGCACGGGUGCCUGCACCUGUUGGCGAGUGGCGAACGGGUGAGUAAUACAUCGGAACAUGUCCUUUAGUGGGGGAUAGCCCGGCGAAAGCCGGAUUAAUACCGCAUACGAUCUACGGAUGAAAGCGGGGGACCUUCGGGCCUCGCGCUUUCGGGUUGGCCGAUGGCUGAUUAGCUAGUUGGUGGGGUAAAGGCCUACCAAGGCGACGAUCAGUAGCUGGUCUGAGAGGACGAGCAGCCACACUGGGACUGAGACACGGCCCAGACUCCUACGGGAGGCAGCAGUGGGGAAUUUUGGACAAUGGGCGAAAGCCUGAUCCAGCAAUGCCGCGUGUGUGAAGAAGGCCUUCGGGUUGUAAAGCACUUUUGUCCGGAAAGAAAACCUUGGCCCUAAUACGGUCGGGGGAUGACGGUACCGGAAGAAUAAGCACCGGCUAACUACGUG
rnacentral:rRNA from 1 species